CGGUUCCGGUUCUGGGACUGGCUCUGUCUGGGUCUCUGGGAUUGGAUCCACUACUGCUGUUGCAGACAUUGGCAUGGGGUCCGGUUCCAUCACCUCUGACGGGUCCUGGUAGAAGUCUCCGGAACACAGCUAGGUGUGACAGCCUGCUUAGCCUGGCUGU